rnacentral:rRNA from 1 species
UAACACGUGAGUAACCUCGCCCCCUUCUUCUGGAUAACCGCAUGAAAGUGUGGCUAAUACGGGAUAUUCUGCGCCUGCUGCAUGGUGGGUGUGGGAAAGAUAUUGUUUCGGUGGGGGAUGGGCUCGCGGCCUAUCAGCUUGUUGGUGGGGUGAUGGCCUACCAAGGCGGUGACGGGUAGCCGGCCUGAGAGGGUGGACGGUCACACUGGGACUGAGACACGGCCCAG